AGUGAACGCUGGCGGUAGGCCUAACACAUGCAAGUCGAACGGCAGCACAGGAGAGCUUGCUCUCUGGGUGGCGAGUGGCGGACGGGUGAGGAAUACAUCGGAAUCUACUUUUUCGUGGGGGAUAACGUAGGGAAACUUACGCUAAUACCGCAUACGACCUACGGGUGAAAGCAGGGGAUCUUCGGACCUUGCGCGAUUGAAUGAGCCGAUGUCGGAUUAGCUAGUUGGCGGGGUAAAGGCCCACCAAGGCGACGAUCCGUAGCUGGUCUGAGAGGAUGAUCAGCCACACUGGAACUGAGACACGGUCCAGACUCCUACGGGCGGCAGCAGUGGGGAAUAUUGGACGAUGGGCGCAAGCCUGAUCCAGCCAUACCGCGUGGGUGAAGAAGGCCUUCGGGUUGUAAAGCCCUUUUGUUGGGAAAGAAAUCCAGCUGGUUAAUACCCGGUUGGGAUGACGGUACCCAAAGAAUAAGCACCGGCUAACUUCGUGCCAGCCGCCGCGGUAA
rnacentral:rRNA from 1 species